UUUCAAAGUAACAAGGCCAAAAGAAAGUUAUCCCUACAAAAGCAUAUAGUCUGGCUAUGCUCUAUCAUCAUUGCACAACGAAUUUAAAUCAUGCACAACCCCGGUAUUGGCCAAGUAAUUGUUUCACACCUUUACUUUCUCAAACCUUUUCAACUCUCACACAAUACAUGAGCGUGAGCCAUGGUUAUAGCACUAUAGAUGGUGUGGAAUAUAGUGGAGGUUGCGAGACAAAAAAGGAGAAGAUAGUCACAUUAACUAGGCAUAUCAGUGAGCUGUGGAGAUGCUCAUCAAU
rnacentral:lncRNA from 1 species